GUGCCAGCAGCCGCGGUAAUACGUAGAGUGCAAGCGUUGUCCGGAAUUAUUGGGCGUAAAGGGUACGCAGGCGGAUAAUCAAGUCAAGCGUGAAAGGUGUCGGCUUAACCGACAGACUGCGUUUGAAACUGGUUAUCUUGAGUGUAACAGAGGAGAGUGGAAUUCCUGGUGUAGUGGUGAAAUACGUAGAUAUCAGGAAGAACACCAGUGGCGAAGGCGACUCUCUGGGUUAACACUGACGCUGAGGUACGAAAGCUGGGGGAGCGAACGGGAUUAGAAACCCUAGUAGUCC
rnacentral:rRNA from 1 species